rnacentral:rRNA from 1 species
GACAGAGGGUGCAAACGUUGUUCGGAUUUACUGGGCGUAAAGCGCGUGUAGGCGGCUUUGCAAGUCGGAUGUGAAAUCCCACGGCUCAACCGUGGAAGUGCAUCCGAAACUGCAUCGCUGGAGUCUCGGAGAGGAAGGUGGAAUGCUUGGUGUAGAGGUGAAAUUCGUAGAGAUGUGGAGGAACACCAGUGGCGAAGGCGACUCUUUGGCCUGUAACUGACGCUGAGGCGCGAAAGCGUGGGGAGCAAACAGG